CGGACGGGUGAGUAAUGUCUGGGAAACUGCCUGAUGGAGGGGGAUAACUACUGGAAACGGUAGCUAAUACCGCAUAACGUCGCAAGACCAAAGAGGGGGACCUUCGGGCCUCUUGCCAUCGGAUGUGCCCAGAUGGGAUUAGCUGUAGGUGGGGUAACGGCUCACCUAGGCGACGAUCCCUAGCUGGUCUGAGAGGAUGACCAGCCACACUGGAACUGAGACACGGUCCAG
rnacentral:rRNA from 1 species